UGUAUUCUUCCAAGACUGGAAUUGGCAAAGCUCUUAAACGAAACGUUGAAGGAUAUGAACAGAGAGCUUUUCAGAACUUAUGGCAGCUCAUUAGCUGGCCUCCGGGAUUUGGGAUAUGAUAUCAAUCCCGAUGAUUAUCACAGGUAAUAUCA